rnacentral:rRNA from 2 species
UGGGGAAUUUUGGACAAUGGGGGAAACCCUGAUCCAGCAAUGCCGCGUGUGUGAAGAAGGCCUUCGGGUUGUAAAGCACUUUUGUCCGGAAAGAAAUCCUUUGGGCUAAUACCCUGGGGGGAUGACGGUACCGGAAGAAUAAGCACCGGCUAACUACGUGCCAGCAGCCGCGGUAAUACGUAGGGUGCGAGCGUUAAUCGGAAUUACUGGGCGUAAAGCGUGCGCAGGCGGUGAUGUAAGACCGAUGUGAAAUCCCCGGGCUUAACCUGGGAACUGCAUUGGUGACUGCAUCGCUGGAGUAUGGCAGAGGGGGGUAGAAUUCCACGUGUAGCAGUGAAAUGCGUAGAGAUGUGGAGGAAUACCGAUGGCGAAGGCAGCCCCCUGGGCCAAUACUGACGCUCAUGCACGAAAGCGUGGGGAGCAAACAGG